GGAUGGGUAGGUGCAAGAAAGUCAAAUUUGUUUUUGUGGUUUUCUGAGGAAGAGAGGGACGGAAAUGGUUUUUUUGUUCAUUUUUUUUUGGGUUGCAGAUACCAAAGUACAAACGCCGCACACCGUGUGCUAGACUCAACCUCUGGAGAAACGAGCAGCAAGGCACUGUUUUAAGACGUCGCACCAAAGCAGGGUCUUUCGACUAUUUUCUCCUUCGGCAGCAUCUGCCAGGGUUAGAUGAUCUCUUAGUAAGUUUUGUUGACCAACUGUAGGAAAUGUAGUUGUUUUUAAUUUGUUCAGUUGUAAACUUAACUUCAUUAAAAUGAAGUUAAACACAAAACAAUCUGCCAGGGUUAGGGGCACACUGAGGAACGUAAGAGCGUGAAAGGUGGAACUUGUGUGGAGACCGGCCAUUUCGCCAGGGACUGCACGGCUCCGCCUCCGUUGCAAAAUCCGCAGCGGGGAGGUGCGUCCGGUCCGUCUCUGUCAACAACGGGAGCCUUCGGACGCAGACUCUCCGCCUGGAAGGGGGGGUGUCUGCGGAGGAGGGAUUACAGGCACCGAACCAGAGAGGGGGAAGGAAUGGGCAGAGAUGGAACCAGAGAUGGAGGCGGGGGCCGAAGAGGCCCCUGCUGGGACUGAAGAGCUCCAGAUGUGGAGCCCUGCCCCUACGAUGGCGGAAGUCUUGAAAAGGAAGUCCUCUGCUGAGAUCCUGAGAGAUGAGUGCACGCGAUUUCACAAAUCCCCUUCUACGCACCCGGACCGCAGUUCUCCGAUGGUGAGGAGUCUGUGUGAUGCAAUGGAAAACUGGCAGUCCCAGCUCGCGUUUGUGCCCCACCGGGGGGGACGCGUGCCAGCAGCCGAAGCGGCCCGGAGAAGUGCCGACCUUAAUGAGACCCACCGCCGCGGGGCCACGUCGUGUGAUCGCGGUGCAGUUUUGCGUACGUGAACACCUGGUACCAGGGACUGGCUGCCCUCAUCAUCUCCAUCGAGGUGGGAGCUUCUCCUGCACACAGCCACUAAAAUGAGUUUCAUUAGAAAAGAUAAAGUUCAAACAGUGGAAAAGAUCACUUGGUAAAUGUUUGACUUUUUUCUGAGAGCCGGUUUAGAGCAUCAGUCCAAACUCAGAAUCAGAGUGACACCCGGAGGUGUUUCAAAGGCCCUGCUGAGAUAAGAAGCUCUGAGCUCUGGACACAAACGUGACCAAGAGGAUGGCGUGGUGGCGCAGCAGGUAGUGCUGGUGCCUCACAGCCCCUGGGCAGGGGGUAUGGAGGUGGGUUUGAAUCCAGCUCAGUACGUGUGGGCUCUCCACACUCUCUCCGUGCUUGCGUGGGUUUCCUCCCACAGAAACUAACACGAAAUUUCCUGCACCGUGUGUGUGUCAAUGUGAGCGAUGGACUGGCGUCUCCCCCGGGCCGCACCCCGUCUCACACCUUUGGCAUCCAGGAUAGGCUCCGGACCACCGUGAUCCUGCACCGCACAAGCAGCAUUUGGAAAGAUGGUCAUGCAUGAGAUGCAGCCGCUGAAAGCAUAAAUCCUUUUUUUUUUUUUUUUUUUUUUUUUAAAAAAAAAAAAGUAAAAACAGGCAAAUGAAUAACAGGUUCACCUUGACCCCGCCCACUUUCCGCAUCCACUAAGUUCAGCGCGAAAUCCUGCGCCCACCUUCGACAACCUGUGGUCCAUCUUCAGGAACAUUUUGCAGGAACACAAACAAAUGCAGAACAACGAAUGAAAGUUGGACCGCAGGGCCUUCGCUGCACGUCUCCGUCGGUCUCUGUCCCGGGCUGCCCGCUUCGCCUCUCCCCAGGACGUCUCGGUCUUCCGUAGCUCUGUCUGUAGGGUUCAUCUCCGUGUGAGGAGUGGCCUUCCUCUUCUCCGUUACCCGGUGGGUUCCAAUCCAAGGCUUCUCUUGGAAUGGUGGUCUCUUGUCUGCGCAAGAUAUGCCCGACCCAUUUCCAUUUCCUUCUCUGGAUUGUAUUAACAAUGGGCUGUUGCUUUGUCCUCUGCCAGAGCCCCUGGUUAGAAAUUCGUUCUGGCCAAGGCAGUAAUUAGUCUGUAGCAAACAAGCUUAAAAUUAUUAAAAAAAAAAAAAAAA